rnacentral:rRNA from 1 species
UACGUAGGGUGCAAGCGUUAAUCGGAAUUACUGGGCGUAAAAGGCUUGUAGGUGGCCACGCCAAGUCGGAUGUGAAAUCUCCCGGCUCAACUGGGAGGGGUCAUUCGAUACUGGCGGGCUCGAGGCCGGUAGGGGGAAGUGGAAUUCCCGGUGUAGUGGUGGAAUGCGUAGAUAUCGGGAGGAACACCAGUGGCGAAGGCGGCUUCCUGGACCGGUUCUGACACUGAGGAGCGAAAGCGUGGGGAGCGAUCCGG